rnacentral:rRNA from 1 species
GAUGAACGCUGGCGGCGUGCCUAAUACAUGCAAGUCGAGCGAACAGACGAGGAGCUUGCUCCUCUGACGUUAGCGGCGGACGGGUGAGUAACACGUGGAUAACCUACCUAUAAGACUGGGAUAACUUCGGGAAACCGGAGCUAAUACCGGAUAAUAUAUUGAACCGCAUGGUUCAAUAGUGAAAGACGGUUUUGCUGUCACUUAUAGAUGGAUCCGCGCCGCAUUAACUAGUUGGUAAGGUAACGGCUUACCAAGGCAACGAUGCGUAGCCGACCUGAGAGGGUGAUCGGCCACACUGGAACGGAGACACGGUCCAGACUCCUACGGGAGGCAGCAGUAGGGAAUCUUCCGCAAUGGGCGAAAGCCUGACGGAGCAACGCCGCGUGAGUGAUGAAGGUCUUCGGAUCGUAAAACUCUGUUAUUAGGGAAGAACAAAUGUGUAAGUAACUAUGCACGUCUUGACGGUACCUAAUCAGAAAGCCACGGCUAACUACGUG